AUCUUUAUGCAGGGGCAUUACGUGUAUCAGUGAGGAUUCGUCCGAGAUCAUGUUUUUGCUGGUUGAAAACUAUAACCUGACAGCUCCUUUGUGGAAUGGCUUGUCCAUAGACACCUAGGGAAUUUUUGGAAA